rnacentral:snRNA from 1 species
AAAACACAAAACCUGAAUAUCUU